CGAUGACAGCCUUGAGGCGAGAAAUUCAGCACUGGUUUCUGAAAUGGGAACAGAGGAAUCAAAUGUCUGUACCUCUCUCAAGGAGAAGGGGACUAUCCAGUCACUGCUUCACAAAAGACAUGUUGCCAUCCAUAUGUGGAAGCCAGUUGCUGGCCCUGAAGAUUUACUAAUGUGAAUGCUGUUCUCUUCAUUGUUCUCCCCUGGGCUGUGAUAUGACAGG